rnacentral:rRNA from 1 species
UCUUGAUGUCGGCAAGCCGCUCCACGGCCUCCUCAGGGGAGUCGGAGGUCUUCUCGAGCACGCGGCGCGCGUCGCCGAUGCGCCCCUGCAUGACGAGCCACCGCGGCGACUCUGGCAUGGCGAGGACGCCGACGGCGAGGAAGACCGGCGGCACGGCGCCCGCGAGGAACAUGGCGCGCCAGCUGAGGUGCACGGGCAGGCCGUGGAAGGCGUAGUUGGAGAUGUACCCGAGGAGCACCCCGGUGUUGAUGAACACCUCAGGGAAGGACGUGAGCAGGCCGCGGGCGGAGGUGGGGGCGACCUCGGCCGUGUACACCGGCGCAAUCAUGAGCGCGUAGCCGACGCCGACGCCGGCGACGAAGCGGCCGAGCAUGAGGACCGCGUAGCUCGGGGCGAGGCCCAUGAUGAGGGCUCCCGCGAAGAAGAUGACCGACGCGAGGACCAUGGUGUACCGCCGGCCGAUCCAGUCGGACGUGCGGCCCGCCGCGAGCGAGCCGACGAGCGAGAAGAUGUUGAUGAUGCCGGCGAGGACCUCGAUCUGCGCGUCCGUGAUCUUCAGGUCCCUCUUCAUGAAUAUCUGCGCGCCGCUCAUCACCGAGACAUCAUAGCCGAGGAGGAUGGAGUUCAUGGAGGCGAGAAUGGCGCAGGCGAGGGCGUACUUGUUGAGGGGCGCGCGUUUCGCCGGCGCCUCGGCGGCGGGGAUGUCGGCGGCCACGUCCUUCGACAUGGUGAAACCGGGGAGGAAGUUUGUCUGCGAAGUGGCUCUCGGCACACUCGACGUGUCCUGCUCCUGCCCGAGCCCGCACUGCUGCCU